CUUUUGAUUGAGGGCUGGUAUGAAUGGCUUAACGAGAGCUGAACUGUCUCUUUUUAAAUUUAUAAAAAUUAGCUUUUAAGUGAAGAGACUUAAAUUUAACUGAGUGACGAAAAGACCCUAUUGAGCUUUAGUGAAUUAGUGAAGAUAUAAAUUUUUAUGCAUUUAGGUGCAUUUACAGUUCUCUAAGAAUCUUUAGUUGGGGCGACUUAGGAGUAAAUAAAGCCUCCUUUAUAAGUAUCAUACGUAUAUUUAGGUGGUCAAACUUAAUUAAAUAGAUCCAGCAGAUGCUGAUCAAAGGAAAAAGUUACCAUAGGGAUAACAGCGUGAUCUUUCUGGAGAGUUCUUAUUGAAGGGAAGGUUUACGACCUCGAUGUUGGACUAAGAUAUCCUGAAGGUGCAGAAGCUUUCAAUGGUUAGUCUGUUCGACUAUUAAAAUCUUACGUGAU
rnacentral:rRNA from 1 species